AAGAUACAGAAAAAUAAUUGCUUGGGAUGUACAGACAUGAAAAUUUGAGCCGAUAUUGAUAUCGAUGUUAAUACUGUUAUGUCAGACUUCACCAAUAUUUCAUUUUAUCAAUAUUUUUUUAUUCGAUUACUCAAUUAGUCGUCAGAAUAAUCAAUAGAUUACUCAAUUACUAAAACAAUCUUUUACAACAGCUAUGCAUGCUUAAAGAAAUAUGUAAAAAUAUAAAUAAAUAAAAUAUUUAUAAAAGUUCAAUAGUGGCAGGAUGGUAUGAACUACCAUAAACUCAAAGAAAAAAAAAAAAAAUCAAGUUCCUCUGCUUUUUCCCAGUACUAUGUAGGAACAACCAAUCAGAGCCAGGAGGCAGGUCUUAGUGAUGGCAUUGCUCGCCCUCCCCUUACUUCUUGUUCUCUGCUAUGCUGCAGCUAGCAGAAACUGUUUUGAAUGCUCAAGCCAGUUAGCACAGCCACCAAUGACAGCAGAUAAAUGGUUUUCCUGUAAUAGUGAGUUGUUUC